UGAGAUGAGAGAAGGUGAGUUGCAACAAUCUUAUAAAAAUGGUAUCAAAAGCUGCAGCAUUCAGAGAUUCUAAAUACAAUAUGUAACAAUGGAUGUAUAGAAAAGUGCUACUUGAGGAUUUUUCAAAACAUCUUUUGCGAUCAUAUGGGUUUGGAACCACAAGAGAGCAACUUAAUGACCGCAUUUUCAUUUUGAAGUGACCGGUCCCUUUAAAGAAGGACCACCAGGUUGCCAAGCCAGAGAGGGGGAUGUGAGACAGAAAGAGAAAAGAAAAAGAAGAGGAGGAGUCUGGAUGAGGAAUAAUGCUGCCAACUCGUUCUGUUGAGUUGAGAAGCAGCAUCUGGAAACGUUUAUGUCUGCACAGCUAUGGCCCCAACAGUUACAUCACUCAGAGGAACACUUCCCUGCCCCCAACACACACACACACACACACACACAACAACCCCCCAGUAACCCAGUACGAUUUCCUGCGAAUUCCAAAGUCGGAUCCCGGCUGGAACAUUUCAGUGCGCUUGCCACGUCACUUUGCCUCCCCUUUCGUCCCUUUUCUACUUUCGUCCCGCUCCUCGCCUCUCUUUUCUCCAUUUAUCGCUUUCCCUUUACUUUGAAAAUGACUGCUAAAGGAACAUUUCUCAGCGUUAUUUAUAAAACAAUGGUAAAGAGCGCAAACUGCAUUUGGUCCAGAAUGCGAAAAUGAAGCCAAAGGGUCCUUAUUCGUCUUGAAGAAACUGCAGAGGCCUGGAAUAUGCAUUUGCCACGCAGCAGACAUUCGUGUGCGGUCCUCGGGGCAGUGACCUGCGGUCCAGCCGCCCUCUUUCCUCCCCCCCGCCUGCCCAGUGUUCAGACUACCUGUUCAUCAUGCUGCAGCUGAACAGUAGUCCGCACAUUGGUUAGGCUGGGCUGGGACACACACACCCGUGGCUCGAGUACAAGGACUCUACCAUUCGCUGCUGGACUCGGGGGGGAUUUCACAUAUAAACAAUCUUUCUUUGGGGAAUAAAGUGAGACAUUUCCAUUGAAGUUGCUUUGGAUGAAAGCAAAUGUAUGUGCUCGCAGGGAAAGAAACCCAAGGCCUUGAUGUUACUCGCACCACACUCAUCCAGUAAAGCCACAGGAACUUUGGAAAACAGCUAACGUUUGCACUAAUUUCAAACACACAUGAAGUUCGAGUCCGACUUGAGUGGCACUAGUUUUAAGUUCAAGCGAAAGGGGGAGGGACUGUAAAUGAAAAAUGAAGAACAGAUGAAUCUUACCUCCUCGUCCUUGUACCAGGACAGCGAUUCGGCCGUCAGGACGAACCAGUACUCCUUGGAGCCACCCUUCAUAAUGCUGAUGUGGAGGGUUAGCCAGCCUUUACGGAUCACCUGUGGUACAGAGGGGAGCGGGGUGGGGGGAUUUGCAUGCCACAAGAGUGGGGAAAGAUUAUGAGAUCCACAGUCUUUGUGCAAUAAACUUGUGUCCUAUGCUGAACCAACCUGAAAACCAUAUUGUGCAAACCUGUACUUACCUGAUGUGGAAAUAUUUUGUGUAAAUUUGGUUGCCUUCUAUUGUGGUCAACGUGACUAACUAAACUACUCCGAUUUGUACAUUACAUCAAUGGUUCUUGACUUGUUUCCAAAAAUCACUACAUUUUUUCAGGCAAAAUUGGUCCUUUGUCCACUAGUCCACUGUUUUUCAGUUUGGUAAAAAAAAAAAAAAAUUCAGGUCAAAAAGGUUCAUUCUUAGUAAGUUUCAUUGCCAAUCCCAAACAAAAAAUUAACCAUGGUUGUAUUAUAGUAAAGGUGUAGUAACAGUUUUUUUUUUUUUGCCAUUUCGAUUACUAAUUGUAUAACAUUUUAUUACAAAUACAAUGGUUAACCUAUGGUUAGUGUACCAAAACCAUAGUUAAUUUGUUGUUACUACGGUCUAACGACAAACCAUGUUUUUUGGGGGUUUUAGUUGUACCAAAAAACAGUUAAUUUUUUUGUAAGAGACAUAGCAAUGCAUAACACAAAUCACUUUUUUUUUUUUUUUUUAAACAAAAAGCAUCACGCUUGUCAAUACAGAGAAUCUGCAUGUGGAAAUCUUCAGUCCUCAUGCAAAAUUCCCAAUUCCUUUUGUACAUUUUAUACAUUUAAAUAUGUUAAACCAGAAGCGUGAUGACUGCAACUGCAAAAAAAUAAAAAAAUAAAUUUAUAAAUUAAUAAAACAGCAGGAGUGUUAUUUACCAACAGUUUUAGCAUAUUAGCAAAAAAAUUCCAUUAUAUUUUUACUUUAUCAUUCGAAUUUAGCUUUAGGUUGCGAUUCCCCAGUUGGGAACCACUAGACUACAGUAUCUACUCUGCAUGGAGUCAGAACAUAAGGCAGCAAUUAAAGCUUAGUCACAUAUAAAUGCUCUAGAAAACACUAAAGAAAACCACUGGGGAGUGUCUUGAAGUCUUGAAAUAGAGCAACAAUAAAAGAACAAAGGAACAA